AUUCACUUGGAAGUUGGAAUGUCUCCACUCUCCAUCUUCACUCUCUUCGCCUCUCUCCCUCUUCUGUUUCUUUGUUUGCGAUGUUGAGGCCAGAGAUUCCUCUCCCCAUUACAUCGCAAGGCCCUCUCUUUAAGUGGUUGGGACAGAAGAUCUAGAGGACACAACCUGUGCCAUCGUCGAUGGCGAACUGAGGAAACUGUUUCGUCCAUUUGGAACUUCAGUUUUCGGGUACCAUUCUGUCUUCCUUUGAAGCUCACCGAUCACAUUCUCUUCUGUUCCCAAGCUACUUCAAGCAGCCUCCAUAUCCGGAUGAAAACAUAGAAAAGAGUGCAGGCUAUGAGCUGGGUUAGAAGAUGGUGCAGUUCUUAAUUGGCUCAUCAUAUUACCCUGUUGCAUGUUGUUUCUUUGAAGACUUCUGUUAAUUGUAGACCGGUGUUCUACAUAGAGUUUAUGAUGUGGUUAAUUUGAAAAGGUGAGUUUGAACCGACGGUGGCUACUGUCAUGAAAGUAAAGCAAAUGAAUGCUUCUAAGAGGUGGAAGAUUGAAAGAGAAGGAAAGGGAAUAGAGUGUUUAUUGAGAGGCGUCCAUCACAGUCAGCGUCUUCAACAGCGGUAUAAACUCUUCUUUUAUUUUGCUUUAUUUAUGACUUUUCCUGAUCCUUUUCUAUUUGUGUGCAAACUUCAAAGUUCAAACUCUACACUUUCCUUGAAGAAUUAUUUCAUUAGUUACUCCUGGCAAACUUGAAACUCUACACAUUCUGCUAUAAGUCUCCAUGCCAAAAUUGACGACUAAUCAAAAUUGUACGUACAUUAUAAAGCAUGGCCAUAAGUUCUGAAGAUUGUAUACCACUCAAAUUUCUCUUCUCUAUGUCCAAACUUGCAAAAAUCUUUCCUAAAACUUAGCAUCAUUUGAUAAUUUUACUGAAUAUGAAAAAAUCUAUUUUACUGUUGUAAAUUGGUGUCUCAGGGAACAUCCAUUAUGCAGGAACCAGAGGACUUCAUUAGUAAUAUGUUCUAAUUAAAUUGGGAACAACACCAGUGCAUCCCUUUGAGGCUCUGAGAAUAUCCAAGCCUCUCAAUUAAGAGACAAAGAGGAGUUUCAAAAUGGGUAGAUCUUGGAUGCUAUAAACCAUAGGGAUUUUAAUUUGACAGGACUGAGGUCAGCCACAAAAAAAUUCAGAGCUUGGUACAAGGAGAGAGCAGCAUCAUCGUGGGAUAUGGAUUUGACUAUUAUCAUCAAGAAAGGAUUGAAAUAUUGUUGUGUAGUAUCAUUGUGAUUACCUGUUGUGUGACCUCCCUAUCCUCCCCCUGAAAAAAAAAAAAGAGAAUUUGUUGAGCUUUUUAUGUUUUGUAUUGCUAUUGAUUGAAACUUAACCAGUGUUGUAUAAUAGAAAAAUGUAAUGAUCCUUAAUAAAGACUUUUGCGUUGUAUAAUGGAUGGUACCAGGUUAAUUGAAAGAGUGCAUUGAUCCUUAUUGGUGAAAUUCAAAUAUUGUUUUG